rnacentral:rRNA from 1 species
GUGGGGAAUAUUGCGCAAUGGGGGAAACCCUGACGCAGCGACGCCGCGUGAGCGAAGAAGGCCUUAGGGUUGUAAAGCUCUGUUGUAAGGGAAGAAAGGCAACCGGAGUAACAUGCUGGUUGUAUGACGGUACCUUACGAGGAAGCCCCGGCUAACUACGUGCCAGCAGCCGCGGUAAGACGUAGGGGGCGAGCGUUGUCCGGAAUUACUGGGCGUAAAGAGCACGUAGGCGGAUAUUUAAGUCAGUUGUGAAAGACCGCGGCUCAACCGCGGGGUUGCAAUUGAAACUGGGUAUCUUGAGGGCAGGAGAGGUCAGUGGAAUUCCUGGUGUAGCGGUGAAAUGCGUAGAAAUCAGGAGGAACACCAGUGGCGAAGGCGGCUGACUGGACUGGCCCUGACGCUGAGGUGCGAAAGCGUGGGUAGCAAACAGGAUUAGAAACCCCAGUAGUCC